rnacentral:rRNA from 1 species
CGGCAGGCCUAACACAUGCAAGUCGAAUGGUAACAGGAAACAGCUUGCUGUUUCGCUGACGAGUGGCGGACGGGUGAGUAAUGUCUGGGAAACUGCCUGAUGGAGGGGGAUAACUACUGGAAACGGUAGCUAAUACCGCAUAACGUCGCAAGACCAAAGAGGGGGACCUUCGGGCCUCUUGCCAUCAGAUGUGCCCAGAUGGGAUUAGCUAGUAGGUGGGGUAACGGCUCACCUAGGCGGCGAUCCCUAGCUGGUCUGAGAGGAUAACCAGCCACACUGGAACUGAGACACGGUCCAGACUCCUACGGGAGGCAGCAGUGGGGAAUAUUGCACAAUGGGCGCAAGCCUGAUGCAGCCAUGCCGCGUGUAUGAAGAAGGCCUUCGGGUUGUAAAGUACUUUCAGCGGGGAGGAAGGGAGUAAAGUUAAUACCUUUGCUCAUUGACGUUACCCGCAGAAGAAGCACCGGCUAACUCCGUG